rfam:Apaloderma vittatum contig41112, whole genome shotgun sequence.
CCAAAGGCUCUUUUCAGAGCCACCCAACACCUCGACAAAAGAGCUGU